rnacentral:rRNA from 1 species
AGCGGAGGAAAAGAAACUAACAAGGAUUCCCCUAGUAACGGCGAGUGAACCGGGAAGAGCUCAAAUUUGAAAUCUGGCGUGCUCAGUGCGUCCGAGUUGUAAUCUAUAGAGUCGUUUUCCGUGCCGGACUGUGUCCAAGUCCCUUGGAACAGGGUAUCAAAGAGGGUGAUAAUCCCGUACUUGACACAAUGACCGGUGCUCUGUGAUACGUCUUCUACGAGUCGAGUUGUUUGGGAAUGCAGCUCAAAAUGGGUGGUGAGUUCCAUCUAAAGCUAAAUAUUGGCGAGAGACCGAUAGCGAACAAGUACCGUGAGGGAAAGAUGAAAAGCACUUUGGAAAGAGAGUUAAACAGUACGUGAAAUUGUUAAAAGGGAAACGAUUGAAGUCAGUCGUGACUGAGAGGCUCAGCCGGUUCUGCCGGUGUAUUCCCCUCAGUCGGGUCAACAUCAGUUUUGUUCGGUGGAUAAGGGCGGUUGGAAGGUGGCACCCUCGGGUGUGUUAUAGCCAACUGUCGCAUACAUCGGAUGAGACUGAGGAAUGCAGCUCGCCUUUAUGGCCGGGGUUCGCCCACGUUCGAGCUUAGGAUGUUGACAUAAUGGCUUUAAACGACCCGUCUUGAAACAC